rnacentral:rRNA from 1 species
GGGAAACCGAGUCUUAAUAGGGCGCAUUAGUAUCAUGUCGUAGACCCGAAACCAUGUGACCUACCCAUGAGCAGGUUGAAGGUGAGGUAAAACUCACUGGAGGACCGAACCAGGGCACGUUGAAAAGUGCUUGGAUGACUUGUGGGUAGCGGAGAAAUUCCAAACGAACUUGGAGAUAGCUGGUUCUCUCCGAAAUAGCUUUAGGGCUAGCGUCGAUGUUAAGUCUCUUGGAGGUAGAGCACUGUUUGGGUGAGGGGUCCAUCCCGGAUUACCAAUCUCAGAUAAACUCCGAAUGCCAACGAGAUAUAAUCGGCAGUCAGACUGCGAGUGCUAAGAUCCGUAGUCGAAAGGGAAACAGCCCAGACCACCAGCUAAGGUCCCAAAAUAUAUGUUAAGUGGAAAAGGAUGUGGGGUUGCACAGACAACUAGGAUGUUAGCUUAGAAGCAGCUAUUCAUUCAAAGAGUGCGUAAUAGCUCACUAGUCGAGUGACCCUGCGCCGAAAAUGUACCGGGGCUAAAACAUAUUACCGAAGCUGUGGAUACCUUUAUAGGUAUGGUAGGAGAGCGUUCUAUGUGCGAAGAAGGUGUACCGUGAGGAGUGCUGGAGCGCAUAGAAGUGAGAAUGCCGGUAUGAGUAGCGAAAGACAGGUGAGAAUCCUGUCCACCGUAAGACUAAGGUUUCCAGGGGAAGGCUCGUCCGCCCUGGGUUAGUCGGGACCUAAGGAGAGACCGAAAGGUGUAUCCGAUGGACAACAGGUUGAUAUUCCUGUACUAGAGUAUAUAGUGAUGGAGGGACGCAGUAGGCUAACUAAACCAGACGAUUGGAAGUGUCUGGCCAAGCAGUGAGGUGUGAUAUGAGUCAAAUGCUUAUAUCUAUAACAUUGAGCUGUGAUGGGGAGCGAAGUUUAGUAGCGAAGUUAGUGAUGUCACACUGCCGAGAAAAGCUUCUAGCGUUAAUUAUACUCUACCCGUACCGCAAACCGACACAGGUAGUCGAGGCGAGUAGCCUCAGGUGAGCGAGAGAACUCUCGUUAAGGAACUCGGCAAAAUGGCCCCGUAACUUCGGGAGAAGGGGCGCUGACUUAUGGUCAGCCGCAGUGAAUAGGCCCAAGCAACUGUUUAUCAAAAACACAGCUCUCUGCUAAAUCGUAAGAUGAUGUAUAGGGGGUGACGCCUGCCCGGUGCUGGAAGGUUAAGAGGAGUGCUUAGCAAUAGCGAAGGUAUGAAUUGAAGCCCCAGUAAACGGCGGCCGUAACUAUAACGGUCCUAAGGUAGCGAAAUUCCUUGUCGGGUAAGUUCCGACCCGCACGAAAGGCGUAAUGAUUUGGGCACUGUCUCAACGAGAGACUCGGUGAAAUUUUAGUACCUGUGAAGAUGCAGGUUACCCGCGACAGGACGGAAAGACCCCAUGGAGCUUUACUGCAGUUUGAUAUUGAGU